UACAGAGGUCUCAAGCGUUGUUCGGAUUCAUUGGGCGUAAAGGGCGCGUAGGCGGCGGGUCAAGUCGAGUGUGAAAGCCCCGGGCUCAACCUGGGAGGUGCGCUCGAGACUGGUCUGCUAGAGUUCGGGAGAGGAGCGUGGAAUUCCCAGUGUAGAGGUGAAAUUCGUAGAUAUUGGGAAGAACACCGGUGGCGAAGGCGGCGCUCUGGACCGAGACUGACGCUGAGGCGCGAAAGCGUGGGGAGCAAACAGG
rnacentral:rRNA from 1 species